UUCCACAAGUUAAUCUGCAUUCCUGGUGGGAUGGUGCCACCGUGGGGGGUGAGAUCCCCUCCACUGGGCUGUUCAGUGGCACCUGAACGUGGAGAUGCUGCUGGCUCAGCUGGUGGACUUGAUGAUCUUAAAAGGCUUUUCCAGUCUUGAGGAUUCAAGGAUUCUGUGAUUUUACGAUUUGUUUUGAAGUGAAAAAGGAACAUCCCAGAUGGGAAUUCGGCCCUGCUGAUUAUGCCUUAUCCUGCCCCGUUUCCCAGGCCAAGGUCUGAGACACCAGGCAGGGAGGAAUGAAUUAAUUAACUUUCACCAACAAAGGGAUUUACCC